ACGCCGUGACAACAGAUCUAACGGAGAGGUGAAGAACAGACAUUGUGAUCUCAGGGAGGCCCAAAGAACCCGUAGAAGAACGCAGAAAGCUAAGCAGUUCUGCACAAAAGAGAUCUUUUGGAAAUAGGCUGAAAAUCUCCAUCGUCCGUCAGCAGGAGAGAAAGAACGUAAAGACAGGUCGAGUGUAAGGAGAACACGCAACCGGUGUGAUGAGUCAACCAGGGGGUGGAAAAGCAAUGCAGAGGGAUGCAGUUAAAGCUGGUGAGACACACCGCAGCCGAUGGACCAGAAUCAAGCAAACUCUGUGAUAUUCAAAAGAAUCUUGAGAUUUUUUAAAAGGUUUACU